rnacentral:pre_miRNA from 1 species
GAGUCUCACCGUCGGGCUCGGAUUCGCUUGGUGCAGGUCGGGAACCAAUUCGGCUGACACAGCCUCGUGACUUUAAAACCUUUAUUGGUUUGUGAGCAGGGAUUGGAUCCCGCCUUGCAUCAACUGAAUCGGAUCCCCGAGGUGUAAGAAAACUC